rnacentral:rRNA from 1 species
UACAGAGGGUGCAAGCGUUAAUCGGAAUUACUGGGCGUAAAGCGCGCGUAGGUGGUUGGUUAAGUUGGAUGUGAAAGCCCCGGGCUCAACCUGGGAACUGCAUCCAAAACUGGCCGGCUAGAGUACGGUAGAGGGUGGUGGAAUUUCCUGUGUAGCGGUGAAAUGCGUAGAUAUAGGAAGGAACACCAGUGGCGAAGGCGACCACCUGGACUGAUACUGACACUGAGGUGCGAAAGCGUGGGGAGCAAAC